rnacentral:rRNA from 1 species
GACGAACGCUGGCGGCGUGCCUAAUACAUGCAAGUUGAGCGCUGAAGGUUGGUACUUGUACCAACUGGAUGAGCAGCGAACGGGUGAGUAACGCGUGGGGAAUCUGCCUUUGAGCGGGGGACAACAUUUGGAAACGAAUGCUAAUACCGCAUAAAAACUUUAAACACAAGUUUUAAGUUUGAAAGAUGCAAUUGCAUCACUCAAAGAUGAUCCCGCGUUGUAUUAGCUAGUUGGUGAGGUAAAGGCUCACCAAGGCGAUGAUACAUAGCCGACCUGAGAGGGUGAUCGGCCACAGUGGGACUGAGACACGGCCCAAACUCCUACGGGAGGCAGCAGUAGGGAAUCUUCGGCAAUGGACGAAAGGCUGACCGAGCAACGCCGCGUGAGGGAAGAAGGGUUUCGGAUCGUAAAACUCUGUUGGUAGAGAAGAACGUUGGUGAGAGUGGAAAGCUCAUCAAGUGACGGUAACUACCCAGAAAGGGACGGCUAACUACGUG